UUCUUUUUCUCCAAAGAUGAUGAACGAUUAAGAGAGGGCCCUAAAUUAUUCUGUAGAUCAGUAAACCUCAACGAAGAAAAAGAAACCUGGGAAGAUAGACGUAGAUUAUUGCUUGAGGAAUGCAAAAAAAGAAGAAACAUAAGGAUGCAAGAAGGAAAGUGAGAGCAAAACAAUAAGUCUUCCUUAUGUUCCUGUCAGGAAUAUUCUUUGUUUCUUCUUUCAAGAAAGUG